AUCGCUUCUCUGCCUUUUGGCUAAGAUCAAGUGUAGUGUUUUAUUCUGUCUAGCUUUUUAACUUACAUGUCCUUUGUUUAUGUAUUAUUGGGUCCAGUUUCAAAUUUGUAUCAGAUUCCUCAGAGUUCAAACAAGUGAGUCUAUAUAAU
rnacentral:snRNA from 1 species